rnacentral:rRNA from 1 species
GUGGGGAAUAUUGCGCAAUGGGCGAAAGCCUGACGCAGCAACGCCGCGUGUGUGAUGAAGGCCUUCGGGUUGUAAAGCACUGUCGGGAGGGAAGAAGGUGCGGCUGAGUAACUGCAGACGUACUGACGGUACCUCCGGAGGAAGCACCGGCUAACUCCGUGCCAGCAGCCGCGGUAAUACGGAGGGUGCAAGCGUUGUUCGGAAUCAUUGGGCGUAAAGGGCGCGUAGGCGGUUCGUCAAGUCGGGUGUGAAAGCCUGCAGCUUAACUGCAGAAUUGCGCUCGAAACUGGCGAGCUUGAGUACGGGAGAGGGUAGCGGAAUUCCGAGUGUAGAGGUGAAAUUCGUAGAUAUUCGGAGGAACACCGGUGGCGAAGGCGGCUACCUGGACCGAUACUGACGCUGAGGCGCGAAAGCGUGGGGAGCAAACAGGAUUAGAAACCCGGGUAGUCC